rnacentral:rRNA from 1 species
UCGAUUCCCUUAGUAGCGGCGAGCGAAACGGGAAGAGCCCAAACCAACAAGCUUGCUUGUUGGGGUUGUAGGACACUCUAUACGGAGUUACAAAGGACGACAUUAGACGAAUCAUCUGGAAAGAUGAAUCAAAGAAGGUAAUAAUCCUGUAGUCGAAAAUGUUGUCUCUCUUGAGUGGAUCCUGAGUACGACGGAGCACGUGAAAUUCCGUCGGAAUCUGGGAGGACCAUCUCCUAAGGCUAAAUACUCUCUAGUGACCGAUAGUGAACCAGUACCGUGAGGGAAAGGUGAAAAGCACCCCGGAAGGGGAGUGAAAUAGAACCUGAAACCGUGUGCUUACAAGUAGUCAG